rnacentral:misc_RNA from 1 species
ACACCUCAACUCUCAUGGUUUGCCAUGAUGAGCUUGGACUUUGGGGGUUUUGCUGGCCUAAGGUCAGCUCUCCUCAAAUGAAUCAGCUUGCCAGUGUUUUGGUGGCAUCACGGGUGUGAUAACUAUCUACGCUUGUGGAUUCCCACCAGGCAACCUUCAGCGAUGAAGGUUCGCUGGAGCUUAUAAACGUCUCUCUCAGCGAGGACAGCAUUUUGAA